UACGGGGGGUGCGAGCGUUGUCCGGAAUCAUUGGGCGUAAAGAGUUCGUAGGCGGCAAAACAAGUCCGGUGUUAAAGGCGCAGGCUUAACCUGUGUAUGGCACUGGAUACUGUUUAGCUGGAAUGCGGUAGAGGUAUAGGGAAUUUCUGGUGUAGCGGUGAAAUGCUUAGAUAUCAGGAAGAACAUCGGUGGCGUAAGCGCUUUACUGGGCCGUAAUUGACGCUGAGGAACGAAAGCCGGGGUAGCAGAU
rnacentral:rRNA from 1 species